rnacentral:rRNA from 1 species
ACAAUACCGCAUAUGCUCUUUCGCGAGGAAGAGCAAAGCCGGAAACGGCGCCCGAGGAUGAGCCUGCGCUCGAUUAGUUGGUUGGUGGGGUAAUGGCCUACCAAGACUGCGAUCGAUAGCUGUUCUGAGAGGACGAUCAGCCACACUGGGAUUGAGAACGGCCCAGACUCCUACGGGGGGCAGCAGUGAGGAAUUUUCGUCAAUGGGGGCAACCCUGAACGAGCAACGCCGCGUGCAGGAUGAAGGUUUUCGGAUCGUAAACUGCUUUUCUCUGGGACGAGAACGGACGGUACCAGAGGAAUCAGCCUCGGCUAACUACGUGCCAGCAGCCGCGGUAAUACGUAGGAGGCGAGCGUUGUCCGGAGUUACUGGGCGUAAAGCGCACGCAGGCGGUCAGGUAAGUCUGUGGUGACAGUCGUCGGCUUAACCGACGAAGUACUAUGGAAACUGUUUGACUUGAGGGCUUCAGAGGGACACGGAAUUCCGGGUGGAGUGGUGAAAUGCGUAGAUAUCCGGAGGAACACCAAUGGCGAAGGCAGUGUCCUGGGAAGUACCUGACGCUCAGGUGCGAAAGCUAGGGGAGCGAACA